GAUGAACGCUAGCGGCAGGCUUAACGCAUGCAAGUCGAGGGGUAACAGGGUAGCAAUACCGCUGACGACCGGCGAACGGGUGAGUAACGCGUAUGCAACCUACCCAUAACUUGGGAAUAGCCCGAAGAAAUUCGGAUUAAUACUCAAUGAUAUUUCGGAGAGGCAUCUCUCUGAUCUUAAAGCUCCGGCGGUUAUGGAUGGGCAUGCGUGCCAUUAGUUUGUUGGUGAGGUAACGGCUCACCAAGUUGACUAUGAUGGCUAGGGGGUCUAAAAGGAUAAUCCCCCACACUGGUACUGAGACACGGACCAGACUCCUACGGGAGGCAGCAGUGAGGAAUAUUGGUCAAUGGAGGCAACUCUGAACCAGCCAUGCCGCGUGAAGGAUGAAGGCGCUAUGCGUUGUAAACUUCUUUUGUACGGGAAGAAACCUCUCUACGUGUAGGGAGCUGACGGUACCGUAAGAAUAAGCAUCGGCUAACUCCGUGCCAGCAGCCGCCGUAACAC
rnacentral:rRNA from 1 species